rnacentral:rRNA from 1 species
UACGUAGGGGGCGAGCGUUGUCCGGAUUUAUUGGGCGUAAAGAGCGUGUAGGCGGCCAGGUAGGUCUGCUGUGAAAACUCGAGGCUCAACCUCGAGACGUCGGCGGAAACCAUCUGGCUAGAGUCCGGAAGAGGAGAGUGGAAUUCCUGGUGUAGCGGUGAAAUGCGCAGAUAUCAGGAGGAACACCAAUAGCGAAGGCAGCUCGCUGGGACGUUACUGACACUGAGGCGCGAAAGCGUGGGGAGCGAACAGG